ACUGGUACUGAGACACGGACCAGACUCCUACGGGAGGCAGCAGUGAGGAUAUUGACAAUGGCGCAGCCUAUCCAGCCAUGCCGCGUGCAGGAUGACGGUCCUAUGGAUUGUAAACUGCUUUUAUACGAGAAGAAACACUGCUUCGUGAAGCAGCUUGACGGUAUCAGUAAGAAUAAGGAUCGGCUAACUCCGUGCCAGCAGCCGCGGUAAUACGGAGGAUCCAAGCGUUAUCCGGAAUCAUUGGGUUUAAAGGGUCCGUAGGCGGUUUAAUAAGUCAGUGGUGAAAGCCCAUCGCUCAACGGUGGAACGGCCAUUGAUACUGUUAAACUUGAAUUAUUAGGAAGUAACUAGAAUAUGUAGUGUAGCGGUGAAAUGCUUAGAGAUUACAUGGAAUACCAAUUGCGAAGGCAGGUUACUACUAAUGGAUUGACGCUGAUGGACGAAAGCGUGGGUAGCGAACAGGAUUAGAUACCCUGGUAGUCCACGCCGUAAACGAUGGAUACUAGCUGUUGGAAGCAAUUUCAGUGGCUAAGCGAAAGUGAUAAGUAUCCCACCUGGGGAGUACGUUCGCAAGAAUGAAACUCAAAGGAAUUGACGGGGGCCCGCACAAGCGGUGGAGCAUGUGGUUUAAUUCGAUGAUACGCGAGGAACCUUACCAAGGCUUAAAUGUAGUUUGACCGAUUUGGAAACAGAUCUUUCGCAAGACAAAUUACAAGGUGCUGCAUGGUUGUCGUCAGCUCGUGCCGUGAGGUGUCAGGUUAAGUCCUAUAACGAGCGCAACCCCUGUUGUUAGUUGCCAGCGAGUCAUGUCGGGAACUCUAACAAGACUGCCAGUGCAAA
rnacentral:rRNA from 1 species